UACGUAGGUGACAAGCGUUGUCCGGAUUACUGGGCGUAAAGAGCGCGCAGGCGGUCGAUCAAGUCGGAGUGUGAAAGCCCCCGGCUCAACUGGGGAGGGUCAUUCGAAACUGGCGACUCGAAGGCAUGGAGAGGGUAGGUAGGAAGUUCCCGGUGGUCAGUCGGUGAAAUGACGUAGAUAAUCGGGAGGAACGACCAGUGGCGA
rnacentral:rRNA from 1 species